rnacentral:lncRNA from 1 species
GAGUAGCUGGGACUACAGGUGCAUGCCACCAUACCCAACUCAUUUUUCAUAUUUUAGUGAAAACAAGGUUUCACCAUGUUGGCCAGGCUGGUCUUGAACUCCCAAGCUCUGGCAGUCUGACUGCCUCGGCCUCCCAAGGUGCUAGGAUUACAGCUGUAAGCCACUGCACCCGGCCAGAUACUGAUUUUUUUUAACCCUACUAUUUACUGGGCACAUACUACACAUCAGGCGGUGACCUCAGUAUUUUCCAUUGAAAAGAUCGUUUAAUCCUCAAAAUGAUUUCAUAAAACUGAUUAAAAUCCCUAAUUUAUAAGUAAUAACUGAGAGAGAUCAAGUACUCCAAGAAAGAAGGAAAAAGGGAGAGAGAGAAGAUCCUUGUGAUGAUGAAAUCCCUUAGACUUUGCCAUCUCAUCUUUCUCCUGCCUCCACACAAGGUCGUAGAAGAAAACAACAUGGACCACUUGCCAGCGUCUCUUUGAACAGAGAAGCUACUGCUGUCUAAGGCAUUUUGUUCCCAUGAGGGAAGAGUCUGGGAGAGAAGCAACCUGGUGGAGAGUGGGCCUAAGACACGGAGAGAGGAUGUUGAUGCCGUGAGUUCCCAAUCCCGCCGCGCCCGUCAGACUUACCCUCAGCUUUCCAGUCUCAGGAGCCAACACUCUUUCCUUCAGCCAGAUCAAGGUCCUUGUCACUUACAGCCAACACCACAACUGAUACAAAAGGGAAGGACACAAAACAAUUGUGGAGAAAGCCGUCUGGAUGGAGCCAGCAGCUUCGCUACCAUCGAGUGGCAUUUCCAGAGAGCAGAUGCACGCGGAGGGGUGUAGUUUGAAGGAAGACCUGGCGGGAUUUGCUAAUGAAUUGGAUAGCAGCGUAGUGAAAGAGACCCUCAGGAAUGACUUCCGGUUUUUAGGCUAAGGAAUUGCAAGAAUGGAACCAUGAACGGAGAUGUUGGUUUAGACCAGUCGCCCUCUGGACCAAGCUGCUGUGAGCAUGGAUUUAACAAAAUGUCAGCCCCACUGGGUAUGAUUUUCAAGUAUGAAUUCAAAACCUAUGGUGAGUUUCUACCAGUUUAAUCAAAAGUCCUUUUAUUUUGUUCUGGGUAAACACAGCUACGUCUGGGGUUUGCAUGCAAAGCAGUGGCUUUGACUUUCUUUUCGUUUUUUUGUAAAGCAGUAUUCAUCCAGUUAUGAGAAAACCACUUUUGCUUAUUGACCUUCUAAAAUGUCGGCAUUGUAAAUCAAAUCACUUGCAAAAAA